AAGUCCUCUGAUCAGCCCUGUAGGGCUGAUCAGAGAGACUCCUCUCCCACAAUCUCCAGUCCACUGGAGAUUGUGUCCCAGCUGCCAGAGGCAGCUUCAGGGACAGGGAGACAGGGCUCUUUGGUCUCCACAUUAGUUUAACCCCUACCCCCCCCUCUUCCUCAAUUAACCCCUUCAAUGCUGCGAUUGUUUAUGACCCCCAUCGCAGCAUUGCAGGGGUUAAUAUUAGUCCCCACAAGCUUGUGGGGACUAAAUAUCAAUCAAUGCUGUGCUUCAAUGGAGCAUCAGCAUUGAAAGAGUUAAAAAAAAAAAAAUUAAAAAAUAA